UCGCGUCUUACGACGGCAGUUUCACUAGAGUUCCCAGCAUUACCUGAUGGCAACUAGUGAUGGGGGUUGCGCUCGUUGCGGGACUUAACCCAACACCUCACGACACGAGCUGACGACAGCCAUGCACCACCUGUACACCGACCACAAGGGAGGCCCUGUCUCCAGAGCUUUCCGGCGUAUGUCAAGCCUUGGUAAGGUUCUUCGCGUUGCGUCGAAUUAAGCCACAUGCUCCGCCGCUUGUGCGGGCCCCCGUCAAUUCCUUUGAGUUUUAGCCUUGCGGCCGUACUCCCCAGGCGGGGAACUUAAUGCGUUAGCUGCGGCACGGACGACGUGGAAUGUCGCCCACACCUAGUUCCCAACGUUUACGGCGUGGACUAC
rnacentral:misc_RNA from 1 species